CAGCACACAACCUCCUCCACGUCAUUUCACUUGUGGUCUUCAGCCCAUGCUUCGUGGGUUUUUAUGAGCAGCAAUAAAGCAGCCACGAAAGAAAGUCCACUUGCUGUCUACACCUGCAUGAUCCCACUCUGUACCCAGCCAGACUUCACGGAGGAACCAAGCCGAUGUCCUAAGGAAUCCACUGCAGGCAACAUACUCAUGCAUCCCCUCUGCGCCUAGGCUGCUCCUGGUGAUGUCCCUUCCUUGAUGAUGUCAGAAGCAAGGUCUGAAGUAGAG
rnacentral:lncRNA from 1 species